CAGCCGUAAACAAUGUGCGUUAGGUAUGUCGGUAACCACGUGUUACUGAUGUGCCGAAGAGAAAUCGUGAAACGCACCACCUGGGAAGUACGGUCGCAAGGCUGAAACUUAAAGGAAUUGGCGGGGGAGCACCACAACAGGUGGAGCCUGCGGUUUAAUUGGAUUCAACGCCGGACAUCUCACCGGAUAAGACUGUUACAUGAAACCCAGACUAAUGAUCUUGGUUGAUUUUCAGAGAGGUGGUGCAUGGCGUCAGUGACU
rnacentral:rRNA from 1 species